AGUGAACGCUGGCGGCAGGCCUAACACAUGCAAGUCGAACGGCAGCACAGUAAGAGCUUGCUCUUACGGGUGGCGAGUGGCGGACGGGUGAGGAGUACACCGGAAUCUACUUUUUCGUGGGGGAUAACGUAGGGAAACUUACGCUAAUACCGCAUACGACCUACGGGUGAAAGCAGGGGAUCUUCGGACCUUGCGCGAUUGAAUGAGCCGAUGUCGGAUUAGCUAGUUGGCGGGGUAAAGGCCCACCAAGGCGACGAUCCGUAGCUGGUCUGAGAGGAUGAUCAGCCACACUGGAACUGAGACACGGUCCAGACUCCUACGGGAGGCAGCAGUGGGGAAUAUUGGACAAUGGGCGCAAGCCUGAUCCAACCAUACCGCGUGGGUGAAGAAGGCCUUCGGGUUGUAAAGCCCUUUUGUUGGGAAAGAAAAGCAGCAGGUUAAUACCCCGCUGUUCUGACGGUACCCAAAGAAUAAGCACCGGCUAACUUCGUG
rnacentral:rRNA from 1 species